UCAGGGGUUGGGGGGUCCCUCAGCUCAGAUUGCGAGAGGGUGUAGGCCAGGCCAAGGGACCACACUGGUACAGG
rnacentral:pre_miRNA from 1 species